rnacentral:tRNA from 1 species
AGGGGCGGAUGUACCCAAGUGGAUAAAGGCAGGGGAUUGGGA